rnacentral:rRNA from 1 species
CCUACGGGGUGCAGCAGUGAGGAAUAUUGGUCAAUGGGCGCGAGCCUGAACCAGCCAAGUAGCGUGAAGGAUGACUGCCCUACGGAUUGUAAACUUCUUUUAUAAAGGAAUAAAGUGAGGCACGUGUGCCUUUUUGUAAGUACUUUAUGAAUAAGGAUCGGCUAACUCCGUGCCAGCAGCCGCGGUAAUACGGAGGAUCCGAGCGUUCUCCGGAUUUAUUGGGUUUAAAGGGAGCGUAGAUGGGUUGUUAAGUCAGUGGUGAAAGUUUGCGGCUCAACCGUAAAAUUGCAAUUGAUACUGGCAGCCUUGAGUACAGGUGAGGUAGGCGGAAUUCGUGGUGUAGCGGUGAAAUGCUUAGAUAUCACGAAGAACUCCGAUUGCGAAGGCAGCUUACUAAACUGCCACUGACAUUGAUGCUCGAAAGUGUGGGUAUCAAACAGGAUUAGAUACCCGAGUAGUC